rnacentral:rRNA from 1 species
ACACGGGACUGCCGGUCUUAAGCCGGAGGAAGUGGGGAUGAUGUCAAGUCAGCAUGGCCUUUAUAUCCUGGGCUACACACACGCUACAAUGGCCAACACAAUAGGUUGCUAAGCCGCGAGGUGGCGCCAAUCCAUAAAGUUGGUCUCAGUUCAGAUUGUAGGCUGCAACCCGCCUGCAUGAAGAUGGAGUUGCUAGUAACCGCAGGUCAGCUAUACUGCGGUGAAUACGUUCCCGGGGCUU